rnacentral:rRNA from 1 species
AUUGAACGCUGGCGGCAGGCUUAACACAUGCAAGUCGAGCGGGGGAAGGUAGCUUGCUACCGGACCUAGCGGCGGACGGGUGAGUAAUGCUUAGGAAUCUGCCUAUUAGUGGGGGACAACAUCUCGAGAGGGAUGCUAAUACCGCAUACGUCCUACGGGAGAAAGCAGGGGAUCUUCGGACCUUGCGCUAAUAGAUGAGCCUAAGUCGGAUUAGCUAGUUGGUGGGGUAAAGGCCUACCAAGGCGACGAUCUGUAGCGUGUCAGAGGGUAUGAGACGCCAAAAUGGGACUGAGACACGGCCCAGACUCCUACGGGAUGCAGCAGUGGGGAAUAUUGGACAAUGGGGGGAAUCCUGAUCCAGCCAUGGCGCGUGUGUGAAGAAGUCCUUAUGGUUGUAAAGCACUUUAAGCGAGGAGGAGGCUACUCUAGUUAAUACCUAGGGAUAGUGGACGUUACUCGCAGAAUAAGCACCGGCUAACUCUGUGCCAGCCGCCGCAGUAA